AACGUGCCCAGUAAUGGGGGAUAGCCCGGCGAAAGCCGGAUUAAUACCGCAUACGACCUAAGGGUGAAAGCGGGGGAUCGCAAGACCUCGCGUUAUUGGAGCGGCCGAUAUCAGAUUAGCUUGUUGGCGGGGUAAAAGCCCACCAAGGCGACGAUCUGUAGCUGGUCUGAGAGGACGACCAGCCACACUGGGACUGAGACACGGCCCAGACUCCUACGGGAGGCAGCAGUGGGGAAUUUUGGACAAUGGGCGAAAGCCUGAUCCAGCCAUGCCGCGUGUGG
rnacentral:rRNA from 1 species